GGCGGAAUAGCUCAGCUGGCUAGAGCACACGGUUCAUACCCGUGGUGUCGAGGGUUCGAAUCCCCCUCUCGCUA
rnacentral:tRNA from 1 species